AGCAGCCGCGGUAAUUCCAGCUCCAAUAGCGUAUAUUAAAGUUGUUGCAGUUAAAAAGCUCGUAGUUGAAUUUCGGGGUUAGUAGGUUGGUCGUGCCUCAGGUAUGUACUGAUCUCACUGAUUCCUCCUUCCUGAUGAACCGUAAUGCCAUUAAUUUGGUGUUGCGGGGAAACUGGACUGUUACUUUGAAAAAAUUCGAGUGUUUAAAGCAGGCUAACGCUUGAAUACAUUAGCAUGGAAUAAUGAAAUAGGACGUUUGAUUCUAUUUUGUUGGUUUCUAGGAUCGACGUAAUGAUUAAUAGGGAUAGUUGGGGGCAUUAGUAUUCAAUUGUCAGAAGUGAAAUUCUUGGAUUUAUUGAAGACUAACUACUGUGAAAGCAUUUGCCAAGGAUGUUUUCAUUAAUCAAGAACGAAAGUUAAGGGAUCGAAGACGAUCAAAAUACCGUCGUAGUCUUAACCAUAAACUAUGACCGACUAGGGAUUGGAUGAUGUUAUUUUUAAUGUACUUCAUUCGGUNCCU
rnacentral:rRNA from 1 species